UACGUAGGGUGCGAGCGUUGUCCGGAAUUAUUGGGCGUAAAGAGCUCGUAGGCGGUUUGUCGCGUCGUUCGUGAAAACUCCACGCUUAACGUGGAGCGUGCGGGCGAUACGGGCAGACUUGAGUUCGGUAGGGGAGACUGGAAUUCUUGGUGUAGCGGUGAAAUGCGUAGAUAUCAAGAGGAACACCUGAGGCGAAGGCGGGUUGCUAGGCUGAUACUGACGCUGAGGCGCGAAAGCUAGGGUAGCAAACGGG
rnacentral:rRNA from 1 species